rnacentral:rRNA from 1 species
UACGGGGGGGGGCAAGCGUUGUUCGGAAUUACUGGGCGUAAAGGGUUCGUCGGUGGCCAACUAAGUCAGACGUGAAAUCCCUCAGCUUAACUGGGGAACUGCGUCUGAGACUGGAUGGCUUGAGUGCAGGAGAGGAACGCGGAAUUCCAGGUGUAGCGGUGAAAUGCGUAGAUAUCUGGAGGAACACCGGUGGCGAAGGCGGCAUCCUGGACCAACACUGACACUGAGGAGCGAAAGCCAGGGGAGCAAACGGG